AUUAUGAUGAGAGAAAAAAGAAAAAGAAAAGAAAAGGUGAAAGGAGAAGAAGAAAAAAGAAAGAAAGAGAAAAAAGAGAAAAGCGAAAGAGAGAAAACAAAUUCUACUGGACACAAUAGGUAAUUAACCUUUUGCUGGAUUGUAAUUAAGUCUUAAUUUUUUGUUCCUCUUUUUUGGAGAAGUUCAAAUGCCUUUGAUUAACUUGUUUUCUAUUCUUUAGUUAAUAUUCGUCAACAUAAUUACAACUAAUUUCGUAACAAUUGUCAUCUUAUUAAUUCUCUAGAGUGUACAGAAUAAAGGCCAACCCCCGUUUAAUGCGCCAUUGACUUGAAAGAGUUUUCAUCAUGUGGAUAUUGGGAUACUUUGUAUGGAGACUCUUCCUUUCGCCACCCACCCUCAAGAAAAACUCUCUCUCUCUCUGUUUAUCUAAUUCUCCUUCUCAAACCAGUUUACCUGAUGAAUCUAAAUCAUAGAUCAACAUCUCUCUCUCUCUCUAGAUUAAAUUGCGUUUUUAUCCAAUAUUCAAAUAGAUUCAAUUGCUACGCGAUUAAUUCUGAUGCUUCCAUCUAUUGAAUCACAAGGAAAAUCCUAUAAAAACGAUCAUCUGUUGAUUCUUAUCUCCAUUUACGUCAAUUUAUUUCUCUCAUCGAAAAGAUAGAUUUCUGGUAAUUCCAUUGAUAACAAUUAACUGGGGAAUCGAUGAUAUUUCUGUAACCGAUAAUCUCUACGGUGGAUUGAUAAGGAUUUACAAUUGUUUAAGCCUUGAUUGGUGUUAAUUGUUACUUUACUUGUCUUUGCAUUGGUAACUGGUUCAGUUAAAUUAGCCAAAUAAUUUAUUAAUUAUCUUAAAUUCUAUUUUUAGAAUCAUGUUAACUCUCUCACUCUUUCUAUGUCGUUUGAAAUCUUCACAUAGCUCACUUAUCUUAUGUUUCUCCAUUUUUCUUCAUUAAGUGAAUCUAAUGGUUUAUAAUUAGAGGAUUAUUGAAGCUUGUGAGAGGAGAAAAAUUCAAAUCACCUUCAUCAGGAUGGAAGAAAAAGUUUCAACUUGAGGGAGGAAGAAGGUUAAUCAAGCCUUAUUUUCCCUUCUAUUCUAUUCUAAAUCAUCUUCUUUUGUCUUCUUCUUCAUCCAAAUUCUAAUGAAUAUCUUUUCUUUCAAAGGAAUGCUGAUAAUUAUAAUUCAUAAUAAUUAACAUCAUCUAACUUCACACUGGAACUAAGAAUGUAAAUAAUCAAAGUGUAAAUUGAACAUCAACAAAAACUGGAAAAGGAAAAGGAAACCAAGCGUUUUAUUGAUGAAUGAAUAAUGACAACAAAUGAACAUGUUAAAAAAAAGGAACUACUGUCAACAACACCCAUGAGAAUUACUAUAAAUUAUGGUAACAAUUGA